AUUGAACGCUGGCGGCAGGCCUAACACAUGCAAGUCGAGCGGAUGAAGGGAGCUUGCUCCUGGAUUCAGCGGCGGAUGGGUGAGUAAUGCCUAGGAAUCUGCCUGGUAGUGGGGGAUAACGUCCGGGAACGGGCGCUAGUACCGCAUACGUCCUGAGGGAGAAAGUGGGGGAUCUUCGGACCUCACGCUAUCAGAUGAGCCUAGGUCGGAUUAGCUAGUUGGUGGGGUAAAGGCCUACCAAGGCGACGAUCCGUAACUGGUCUGAGAGGAUGAUCAGUCACACUGGAACUGAGACACGGUCCAGACUCCUACGGGAGGCAGCAGUGGGGAAUAUUGGACAAUAGGCGAAAGCCUUAUCCAGCCAUGCCGCGUGUGUGAAGAAGGUCUUCGGAUUGUAAAGCACUUUAAGUUGGGAGGAAGGGCAGUAAGUUAAUACCUUGCUGUUUUGACGUUACCAACAGAAUAAGCACAGGCUAACUUCGUG
rnacentral:rRNA from 1 species